UACGGGGGGAGCAAGCGUUGUUCGGAUUUACUGGGCGUAAAGGGCGCGUAGGCGGCCUCCGCAAGUCGACUGUGAAAUCUCCGGGCUUAACCCGGAACGGUCAGCCGAUACUGCGGGGCUAGAGUGCAGAAGGGGCAACUGGAAUUCUCGGUGGUAGCGGUGGAAAUGCGUAGAUAUCGAGAGGAACACCUGCGGCGAAGGCGGGUGCUGGGCUGACACGUGACGCUGGAUGCGCGAAGGCCAGGGGAGCAAACGGG
rnacentral:rRNA from 1 species